rnacentral:rRNA from 1 species
GACGAACGCUGGCGGCGUGCUUAACACAUGCCAGUCGAGCGGAAAGGCCACUUCGGUGGUACUCGAGCGGCGAACGGGUGAGUAACACGUGAGUAAUCUGCCCCUCACUUUGGGAUAGCCACCGGAAACGGUGAUUAAUACCGGAUAUGACCAUAUGUCGCAUGGCGUGUGGUGGAAAGUUUUUCGGUGAGGGAUGUGCUCGCGGCCUAUCAGCUUGAUGGUGAGGUAAUGGCUCACCAUGGCUUCGACGGGUAGCCGGCCUGAGAGGGUGACCGGUCACACUGGGACUGAGACACGGCCCAGACUCCUACGGGAGGCAGCAGUGGGGAAUAUUGGACAAUGGGCGGAAGCCUGAUCCAGCAACGCCGCGUGAGGGAUGACGGCCUUCGGGUUGUAAACCUCUUUCAGUACCGACGAAGCGCAAGUGACGGUAGGUACAGAAGAAGCACCGGCCAACUACGUG